rnacentral:rRNA from 1 species
GGGAGCGAUCAGACCAGCGGUAAUGCACCGGAUCCCAUCAGAACUCCGAAGUUAAGCGUGCUUGGGUGAGAGUAGUGCUAGGAUGGGUGACCUCUUGGGAAGUCCUCGUGUUGCACCCC